rfam:Macrostomum lignano uti_cns_0045393, whole genome shotgun sequence.
GGGAUUGUAGCCUAGUGGUCAGAGCGUCAGACUUACGAAUGAAAGGUCGGGGGUUCGAUUCCCGAUCCCA